rnacentral:rRNA from 1 species
UAUCCCGGGCUACACGCGAGCUACAGUGGUUGGUACAAUGGGUAUCUACCCCGAAACGGGGACGGGAAUCUCCUAAAACCAAUCUUAGUUCGGAUUGAGGGCUGCAACUCGCCCUCAUGAAGCUGGAAUCCGUAGUAAUCGCGUUUCAACAGAACGCGGUGAAUACGUCCCUGCUCCUU